GGAAAUAAAAAAAAUAACAAAAAAUUAAAUAGGGUUGAAACAACAAUAAGGAUACACAUUAUUCUAAAAAUGAAUAAGAACAUUAUUACCACAUAUCAUACAUCAAACAUAAUAGGAUGUGCAAUAGUACUAAACUUAAAUAUUAAUAUUCUUAAUUGAGAAUAGGAGUAAGUCGAAAUUUAGUACCAAGUAGGGUAAUUAACAAAUAUAUAAAAUAAUAAAAACUAAAACAAAGUAAUAAUAAAAAGAAUAAAAUAGAAAAAAUCACACAAAAAAAGAAGAGGGAAGCCACAAACAGUGGACUUCCCCGCUGCACCUAUUACACGUCCAGCAAGAGGAAGCUGUCGGGAUCCAUGGAGGCCACGCAUCGGAAUGAACAGGGGAGUCCAGGUAGCAUCAGCGACGACGCGUGGAGAGGAGGAGGACAAAACCCAACCAAGUUCACCCUCUGGUCACGCCUCAAACCACUGGCAGUUCUCUAGGACCUCAAAAGUUUGUCUCCGGUGAGAAAACAGUAUAGUGAUGAAUGAAAAUGAAGAAGAUGACAUAUGAAGGGAAGAGGUUGUUGUGUUUGUGUUUUGUUUAGGGGCUGAACUUUGUGUUUCUCCUUAGGGGUUGCCUCCUCAUUUGGUUGUGUUAGCUAAUGCCCCAUUUGUGUGUUAUCUUCUCUUUUUUAUGGGCUGUUGAUUUAGCUUUUUUUUGGUUGCUAAAGCCAUUGAAGUGUUGAAGUAUGAAUUUAAGGAUAAGGUGCUCCUUUGGAGGCUGAGUGUGUUUCAAAAAAAUGGGUGUCGUGUAAAAGCUGCUGAAUUAGGUUUAAGGAUA
rnacentral:lncRNA from 1 species